rnacentral:rRNA from 1 species
UGGACAUCUGUAACUGGUGUGUUUGCAUUUAUUGUGUGCUGUGCCAAUGC